AUACGUAGGGGGCGAGCGUUGUCCGGAAUGAUUGGGCGUAAAGGGCGCGUAGGCGGCCCGGUAAGUCUGGAGUGAAAGUCCUGUUUUUAAGAUGGGAAUUGCUUUGGAUACUGUCGGGCUUAAGUGCAGGAGAGGUAAGUGGAAUUCCCAGUGUAGCGGUGAAAUGCGUAGAGAUUGGGAGGAACACCAGUGGCGAAGGCGACUUACUGGACUGUAACUGACGCUGAGGCGCGAAAGUGUGGGGAGCAAACAGGAUUAGAUACCCUGGUAGUCCACACUGUAAACGAUGAAUGCUAGGUGUAGGGGGUAUCGACCCCUUCUGUGCCGCAGUCAACACAAUAAGCAUUCCGCCUGGGGAGUACGGCCGCAAGGUUGAAACUCAAAGGAAUUGACGGGG
rnacentral:rRNA from 1 species